GGACCUGACUGCUAUCGGAUUGCUACUAAGCCAUGCGAGUCUUUGUAGUAAUACAAGGCAGACGGCUCAGUAACACGUAGUCAAUCUAACCUAUGGACAGGGAUAACCUCGGGAAACUGAGAAUAAUACCUGAUAGAUCAUUAUACCUGGAAUGGUUUAUGGUCGAAAUGAUUUAUCGCCGUAGGAUGGGACUGCGGUCUAUCAGCUUGUUGGUGAGGUAAUGGCCCACCAAGGCUAUAACAGAUACGGGCUCUGAGAGGAGAAGCCCGGAGAUGGGUACUGAGACACGGACCCAGGCCCUAUGGGGCGCAGCAGGCGAGAAAACUUUGCAAUGUGCGAAAGCACGACAAGGUUAGUCCGAGUGUUUUCUGCUAAAGAAAUCUUUUGUCAGUCCUAAAAACACUGAUGAAUAAGGGGUGGGCAAGUUCUGGUGU
rnacentral:rRNA from 1 species